GAUGAGUGGCGAACGGGUGAGUAACACGUGAGUAACCUGCCCCCUUCUUCUGGAUAACCGCAUGAAAGUGUGGCUAAUACGGGAUAUUCUGUGCCUGCUGCAUGGUGGGUGUGGGAAAGAUUGCGCCUUUGGGUGUUUUUGGUGGGGGAUGGGCUCGCGGCCUAUCAGCUUGUUGGUGGGGUGAUGGCCUACCAAGGCGGUGACGGGUAGCCGGCCUGAGAGGGUGGACGGUCACACUGGGACUGAGACACGGCCCAGACUCCUACGGGAGGCAGCAGUGGGGAAUAUUGCACAAUGGGCGCAAGCCUGAUGCAGCGACGCCGCGUGAGGGAUGGAGGCCUUCGGGUUGUGAACCUCUUUCGCCAGUGAAGCAGGCCUGCCUCUUGGUGGGUGGGUUGACGGUAGCUGGAUAAGAAGCGCCGGCUACUACGUGCCAGCAGCCGCGUAUACGUAGGCGCGAGCGUGUCNGAAUUAUUGGGCGUAAAGAGCUCGUAGCGGCUGGUCGCGUCUGUCGUGAAAUCCUCUGGCUAACUGGGGCUGCGGUGGGUACGGGCCGGCUUGAGUGCGGUAGGGAGACUGGAACUCCUGGUGUAGCGGUGGAAUGCGCAGAUAUCAGGAAGAACACCGGUGGCGAAGGCGGGUCUCUGGGCCGUUACUGACGCUGAGGAGCGAAAGCGUGGGGAGCGAACAGGAUUAGAUACCCUGGUAGUCCACGCCGUAAACGUUGGGCACUAGGUGUGGGGGGCCUUNUCCGGGUCUUCCGCGCCGUAGCUAACGCAUUAAGUGCCCCGCCUGGGGAGUACGGCCGCAAGGCUAAAACUCAAAGGAAUUGACGGGGGCCCGCACAAGCGGCGGAGCAUGCGGAUUAAUUCGAUGCAACGCGAAGAACCUUACCAAGGCUUGACAUGUGCCGGUCGGCUCCGGAGACGGGGUUUCCUCCUUGUGGGGCCGGUUCACAGGUGGUGCAUGGUUGUCGUCAGCUCGUGUCGUGAGAUGUUGGGUUAAGUCCCGCAACGAGCGCAACCCUUGUCCCGUGUUGCCAGCACGUUGUGGUGGGGACUCGCGGGAGACUGCCGGGGUCAACUCGGAGGAAGGUGGGGAUGACGUCAAAUCAUCAUGCCCCUUAUGUCUUGGGCUUCACGCAUGCUACAAUGGCCGGUACAGAGGGCUGCGAUACCGUGAGGUGGAGCGAAUCCCUUAAAGCCGGUCUCAGUUCGGAUCGGUGUCUGCAACUCGACACCGUGAAGUUGGAGUCGCUAGUAAUCGCAGAUCAGCAACGCUGCGGUGAAUACGUUCUCGGGCCUUGUACACACCGCCCGUCACGUCAUGAAAAGUCGGCAACACCCGAAGCCCGUGGC
rnacentral:rRNA from 1 species